UACGUAGGGUGCGAGCGUUAAUCGGAAUUACUGGGCGUAAAGCGUGCGCAGGCGGUUUUGUAAGUCAGAUGUGAAAGCCCCGGGCUUAACCUGGGAAUUGCAUUUGGGACUGCAAGGCUUGAGUGCGGCAGAGGAGACUGGAAUUCCUGGUGUAGCAGUGAAAUGCGUAGAUAUCAGGAGGAACACCAAUUGCGAAGGCAGCUCGCUGGGACGUUACUGACGCUGAGACGCGAAAGCGUGGGGAGCAAACAGG
rnacentral:rRNA from 1 species